AGAGUUUGAUCCUGGCUCAGGACGAACGCUGGCGGCGUGCUUAACACAUGCAAGUCGAACGGAAAGGCCCUUCGGGGUACUCGAGUGGCGAACGGGUGAGUAACACGUGGGUGAUCUGCCCUGCACUUUGGGAUAAGCCUGGGAAACUGGGUCUAAUACCGAAUAGGACCACGCGCUUCAUGGUGUGUGGUGGAAAGCUUUUGCGGUGUGGGAUGGGCCCGCGGCCUAUCAGCUUGUUGGUGGGGUAAUGGCCUACCAAGGCGACGACGGGUAGCCGGCCUGAGAGGGUGACCGGCCACACUGGGACUGAGAUACGGCCCAGACUCCUACGGGAGGCAGCAGUGGGGAAUAUUGCACAAUGGGCGCAAGCCUGAUGCGGCGACGCCGCGUGAGGGAUGACGGCCUUCGGGUUGUAAACCUCUUUCAAUAGGGACGAAGCGUGAGUGACGGUACCUAUAGAAGAAGCACCGGCCAACUACGUGCCAGCAGCCGCGGUAAUACGUAGGGUGCGAGCGUUGUCCGGAAUUACUGGGCGUAAAGAGCUCGUAGGUGGUUUGUCGCGUUGUUCGUGAAAACUCACAGCUUAACUGUGGGCGUGCGGGCGAUACGGGCAGACUAGAGUACUGCAGGGGAGACUGGAAUUCCUGGUGUAGCGGUGGAAUGCGCAGAUAUCAGGAGGAACACCGGUGGCGAAGGCGGGUCUCUGGGCAGUAACUGACGCUGAGGAGCGAAAGCGUGGGGAGCGAACAGGAUUAGAUACCCUGGUAGUCCACGCCGUAAACGGUGGGUACUAGGUGUGGGUUCCUUCCUUGGGAUCCGUGCCGUAGCUAACGCAUUAAGUACCCCGCCUGGGGAGUACGGCCGCAAGGCUAAAACUCAAAGGAAUUGACGGGGGCCCGCACAAGCGGCGGAGCAUGUGGAUUAAUCCGAUGCAACGCGAAGAACCUUACCUGGGUUUGACAUGCACAGGACGCCGGCAGAGAUGUCGGUUCCCUUGUGGCCUGUGUGCAGGUGGUGCAUGGCUGUCGUCAGCUCGUGUCGUGAGAUGUUGGGUUAAGUCCCGCAACGAGCGCAACCCUUGUCCUAUGUUGCCAGCGGGUUAUGCCGGGGACUCGUAGGAGACUGCCGGGGUCAACUCGGAGGAAGGUGGGGAUGACGUCAAGUCAUCAUGCCCCUUAUGUCCAGGGCUUCACACAUGCUACAAUGGCCGGUACAAAGGGCUGCGAUGCCGUGAGGUGGAGCGAAUCCUUUCAAAGCCGGUCUCAGUUCGGAUCGGGGUCUGCAACUCGACCCCGUGAAGUCGGAGUCGCUAGUAAUCGCAGAUCAGCAACGCUGCGGUGAAUACGUCCCCGGGCCUUGCACUCACCGCCCGUCAAG
rnacentral:rRNA from 1 species